GAAACAAAAAUCAGAGUGCUUGGUGCUUUCCAUGCACACCUUACUGCCCCCAGGCACGCUGCCUGCAGGCUUCCACACUUCAAAGGGGAGUCACCACCACGUACCUGUAUGAAGCCAAGAAGCAGUCCCAAGGGCCCAGAGGAGGAUUCCUCCAGCUGGUUUGUCUGCUCCCUGAUCACCAGGGAACACAAAUAGAGAAAUUAUUGGAUGUUACAAUAGCGCCUCAGACCUGGGACAAACCAGUUCCAUGCCAGGAGAAGACCAGACACUGUGACCUAACAGAGUGCCAAAAUCUCUCUGCACUAUUCCUAGCCUCUUGAUCUCCAGCAUCAGCAGGACUUAAACAAGACAAGUACAAAUGGAUGGAAACUCUCAGGGUGCCAGGAGAUGUUGAUUUUAGCAAUGCUUCAUCACGCUGCCAGAGAGACUGGACACGUAUUUACUGUGAGUUACUUUGAUGCUUCAGCUGGCCUUGAAGGGCAGGAACUGCUGCUUGUCUGAUGCUAGGGAAUAACCUUAAGCUGUUUUUUAGUGUUUUUGUUGUUGUUGUUGUUGUUGUUUUGUUUUGUUUUUCA